GAUCCUGGCUCGGAACGAACGCUGGCGGCAGGCUUAACACAUGCAAGUUGAACGGGAUUUGUAUGGUGCUUGCACCAUGUAAUGAGAGUAGCGCACUGGUGAGUAACACGUGGGAACAUACCUUGAAGUGGGGGACAACAGUUGGAAACGACUGCUAAUACCGCAUAAUCCCUGAGGGGGGAAAGAUUUAUCGCUUUAAGAUUGGCCCGCGGAAGAUUAGGUAGUUGGUGGAGUAAAAGGGCCUACCAAGCCGACGA
rnacentral:rRNA from 1 species